GCUGGUGUGGUUUAGUGGUUUGAGUGUGGGGCUAGGACUCUGGGAGACAAGAGUUCAAAUCUCUGCUCAGGCA